AGACUAAUCUACAUGCUGGAAAAAAACACAGGACUCCUACCCCCGUACCUCAUCCCCAGUCAAUGGGUCGUCAUCCCAAUCUUCCUCCUCCCUGGACCACGCUAGAAAAAAUCACAGGAAUCCUCCCUCGGCACCUCAUCUCCAGUCAAUGGGUCGGCCUCCCUGAUCUUCCUCCUCUCGGAACGCAGGAACAAUUCCAUCAAUGGUUGAUUUGUGACGUGCGAUUAAGCAUGGAGGUCUGGGCGCUCCUCCUAUUCCCAAGGAGGAGCCGUGUCGGUGCUCUUGCCGCCGGUAGCACCGCUUUCCUAUCCUUCUUCCGAAGGGAGAUAUACUGCCUACCUCCUGCUAUUCUAUCCAAUAUCUGCUAGGUAUCUCACUAAUUUUGAGAUUACCUAAUUGCCUUAGUCUACAGCCACAAAAAACUCAUUUUUCUGAUCACUGUAGAUUCCAUUACUAUCAUUCCAAACAUCUGAUCUGUGUUUUCUGAAUGUUAUAUUCAAUUAAUUGGCAUAGCAAGCCUACUUCAGGUCAUGACGUUCUACUAUUUUUUGUGACACGGUUAAUUUUUUCAUGCAUCCCUGUAGGAGUUGACUACAUGGUGUCAUGCUCUGAAGUUUGCUGCAUCCCUGUAGGAUUUUCCACUGCGACUCCACGAGUAAAUCUGAACCACAACUUUGCCUCUCUCGGUUUGCUUUCCCAUCAAGAUAGAAAUCUAACACCCCGCAAAAAAAAAUCUAACGUAUUCUUUCAUCUGACUCUGCCUAUGAAAUCUCUGUCCUGUAUGCUAUGUUUUUCUAAUUUACAUCCUAUAUGGACAACAUCCUGAGAGUCAAAGAUAGAUCACGGAAAGCAGCCACAUCAUCAUUGGCUGUGUAGUGUACGUCCGAUUCAGAACCGUGUCGAAUUGCAUAUCGGUAGUCAGCACAUAGGGAAGCCCAUAAAAGUUGACUUUUUUUAUUCGGGUACUUCUGUAGGCAGACAUACGGUGGAUGCAUGAGCGAGUCGCUAAGGUACAUACAACAAUACCAUCCAUCCAUAUGCACACAAUCAUUUUUUAGAGAAGCACGUACAACCUCUUUUGCCUUAAUUGGUAGCCAUGUUUCUAAUCCUAUGCUUGCAGAAGUUUGAUAGUUCUCUUCCUCCCUACUUCUAAUAUUUAAAUCCCUGUAUGUCUCUUUUUUUGUCCAUAAAAAGGUAGAACCUGUUGUCCAUAAUGGUUCGCAGUUGGUCAGUAUGGUUCUUUUAACAAGAAUUUUGUGUAUAUAUAAGUUUACAAUGGAACAAAACAAUAUAUGGAGCAUAGAAAUAUUACCUGAAGCUUUUGGUUGUGAUAUUUGAGCUAGAGUUUAGAUUAGUGAUCUUGGACAUUGAUUAUGUGUUUGCAAUUUCGCCUUGGGACCUUAAUAAAUUAGAAGUAUUUUUGUCUCAUGAUUUGCAUUUCGUGUCUAUUUUCUCUACAAAAUCUAGAACUCCAGUUCCGAUCAUGAUAUUUGCAUGUCGUUAUUUGUAACUUCACACAAGUUAAUCUCACAAAGAAUCAUAAGUUUUAGAGAUUUUGGAGAGAAGUUUACGAAGUAAGAUGAGCAGGCAUGUGACUUCAUGUACCUUAUUAAAGCAUCCAUGAUAAUGAUUAGCCCUUUCUGACAAAAAUAUAAAAUUAACUCCCAUGUUUCUGCAGGCCCAUUAAAAGGAAAACUUAUCAAUGUUUUUACUAUUUCUCAGUCUCAUGAGUCCCUAAAUUGAGUUUCUGCUCAACGUGGUCUACAUCUUUUGAGGAUACGGAUCGUAAUCCAUCAGAUGCAGUUCCGACGGUUCGCAAGUAUGACCGGUGAUAAACAAUCUGAGAUAUCAGGGGGAAAAUAUCCAAACUGAGAGACGAAGGGGGUACAAUAGGUAAGGUUGGAUGAAGCACGCUCCCUGAUAGGAGAAUGAAUUCGACUUUUUUUCCAAGUACCAGAAAUUUGUAUAUAAGAAUAAAUAUGACCUAAACAACACAAUGCUGACUUUUAAUUUAUGUCAAUCCUUUUAAUUUAUGAUUAACAUUUGCCC
rnacentral:rRNA from 1 species